AUCCAAGGUGAUUCUCUCUCCAUGGGGCCAACUAGUGCCUCUCUCAGGAAAGUAGCAACUUGGAAGAAAACUUGUCAUGACUAAGGUCUUUGGGAAACAGAGGAUACUUGGUUUCUUUUGCCUUCCUUUGGCUGCCUACAUGC
ensembl:snoRNA